rnacentral:rRNA from 1 species
CAAGGCUUGACAUGAACCGGAAACACCUGGAAACAGGUGCCCCGCUUGCGGUCGGUUUACAGGUGGUGCAUGGUUGUCGUCAGCUCGUGUCGUGAGAUGUUGGGUUAAGUCCCGCAACGAGCGCAACCCUCGUUCUAUGUUGCCAGCGCGUUAUGGCGGGGACUCAUAGGAGACUGCCGGGGUCAACUCGGAGGAAGGUGGGGACGACGUCAAAUCAUCAUGCCCCUUAUGUCUUGGGCUUCACGCAUGCUACAAUGGCCGGUACAAAGGGUUGCGAUACUGUGAGGUGGAGCUAAUCCCAAAAAGCCGGUCUCAGUUCGGAUUGGGGUCUGCAACUCGACCCCAUGAAGUCGGAGUCGCUAGUAAUCGCAGAUCAGCAACGCUGCGGUGAAUACGUUCCC